rnacentral:rRNA from 1 species
AGUGAACGCUGGCGGCAGGCCUAACACAUGCAAGUCGAGCGGCAGCGCGGGUGUAGCAAUACAUCUGGCGGCGAGCGGCGGACGGGUGAGGAAUACAUCGGAAUUUACCCAAUCGUGGGGGAUAACGUAGGGAAACUUACGCUAAUACCGCAUGAACUGGAGACAGCAAAGCGGCGGACCUUCGGGCGUCGCGCGGUUGGAUGAGCCGAUGUCGGAUUAGCUAGUGGCGGGGUAAAGGCCCACCAAGGCGACGAUCCGUAGCUGGUCUGAGAGGAUGAUCAGCCACACUGGAACUGAGACACGGUCCAGACUCCUACGGGAGGCAGCAGUGGGAAUAUUGGACAAUGGGCGCAAGCCUGAUCCAG